AUGGGGUUUAGUGCAUAUCAAAUGAUAUCGGCGGCAAUGCGGGUACUCGCUUAUGGCAUACCCGCGGAUUAUACCGACGAGUAUCUUCGCACUGGGCAAGAUACAGCCACGGAGUCAGUCCGUAGGUUUGCCAAGUUAGUCAUCUGGUUGUACAGUGAGCAGUAUCUUCGGGCACCAAACGAGGAAGAUACAAAGAGAUUAAUGGAAAUGAAUGAAAAAAGGGGAUGGUCGGGGAUGCUAGGUAGUCUUGAUUGCAUGCAUUGGAGGUGGAGAAAUUGCCCAAAGGCAUGGCACGGAAUGUAUUGCGGUAAAAGCCGUAAUGCUACCAUUGUGCUUGAGGCCGUAGCAUCUCAGGACACAUGGAUUUGGCAUGCAUUCUUUGGGUUGCGGGGAACACUCAAUGAUAUCAAUAUCCUCAAUAGAUCUCCUUUGUUCAAAAGAUUAUUUUCUGGGGAUGCUCCAGCUUGCAACUACAAAAUCAUGGACAACGAGUACUCAAUGGGAUACUAUCUCACCGAUGGCGUAUAUCCCUAA
rnacentral:rRNA from 1 species